rnacentral:rRNA from 1 species
CCUACGGGAGGCUGCAGUCGAGAAUCAUUCACAAUGGGGGAAACCCUGAUGGUGCGACGCCGCGUGGGGGAAUGAAGGUCUUCGGAUUGUAAACCCCUGUCAUGUGGGAGCAAAUUAAAAAGAUAGUACCACAAGAGGAAGAGACGGCUAACUCUGUGCCAGCAGCCGCGGGAAUACAGAGGUCUCAAGCGUUGUUCGGAAUCACUGGGCGUAAAGCGUGCGUAGGCUGUUUCGUAAGUCGUGUGUGAAAGGCGCGGGCUCAACCCGCGGACGGCACAUGAUAAUGCGAGACUAGAGUAAUGGAGGGGGAACCGGAAUUCUCGGUGUAGCAGUGAAAUGCGUAGAUAUCGAGAGGAACACUCGUGGCGAAGGCGGGUUCCUGGACAUUAACUGACGCUGAGGCACGAAGGCCAGGGGAGCGAAAGGGAUUAGAUACCCGUGUAGUC